UACGUAGGGACCGAGCGUUGUCCGGAAUCAUUGGGCGUAAAGAGCGUGUAGGCGGCCUUUUAAGUCCUGCGUGAAAUCCUGCGGCUCAACCGCAGACGGUCGUGGGAAACUGGAAGGCUAGAGUGCGGGGAGAGGAGAGUGGAAUUCCCGGUGUAGCGGUGAAAUGCGCAGAUAUCGGGAAGAACACCCGUGGCGAAGGCGGCUCUCUGGAACGCAACUGACGCUGAGACGCGAAAGCGUGGGGAGCGAACAGG
rnacentral:rRNA from 1 species